UACGGAGGGAGCUAGCGUUGUUCGGAAUUACUGGGCGUAAAGCGCACGUAGGCGGCGAUCUAAGUCAGAGGUGAAAGCCCGGGGCUCAACCCCGGAAUUGCCUUUGAGACUGGAUUGCUAGAAUCCGGGAGAGGUGAGUGGAAUUCCGAGUGUAGAGGUGAAAUUCGUAGAUAUUCGGAAGAACACCAGUGGCGAAGGCGGCUCACUGGACCGGCAUUGACGCUGAGGUGCGAAAGCGUGGGGAGCAAAC
rnacentral:rRNA from 1 species